rnacentral:rRNA from 1 species
GUGCUUGCACCUGAUGGCGAGUGGCGAACGGGUGAGUAAUGUAUCGGAACAUAUCCGCAAGUGGGGGAUAACGUAGCGAAAGUUACGCUAAUACCGCAUAUUCCCUGAGGGGGAAAGGAGGGGAUCCGCAAGGACCUUUCGCUUACGGAGUGGCCGAUAUCAGAUUAGCUAGUUAAUGGGGUAAAGGCCUACCAAGGCGACGAUCUGUAGCGGGUCUGAGAGGAUGAUCCGCCACACUGGGACUGAGACACGGCCCAGACUCCUACGGGAGGCAGCAGUGGGGAAUUUUGGACAAUGGGGGCAACCCUGAUCCAGCCAUGCCGCGUGAGUGAAGAAGGCCUUCGGGUUGUAAAGCUCUUUCAGCUGGAAAAAAAUCGCAUCACCUAAUACGUGGUGUGGAUGAUGGUACCAGCAGAAGAAGCACUGGCUAACUACGUGCCAGCAGCCGCGGUAAUACGUAUGGUGCGAGCGUUAAUCGGAAUUACUGGGCGUAAAGCGUGCGCAGGCGGUUUUGUAAGACAGACGUGAAAUCCCCCGGCUUAACCUGGGAACUGUGUUUGUGACUGCUAGGCUAGAGUAUGAUAGAGGGGGGAAUAAUUCCACGUGUAGCAGUGAAAUGCGUAGGUAUGUGGAGGAAUACCGAUGGCGAAGGCAGCCCCCUGGGUCAAUACUGACGCUCAUGCACGAAAGCGUGGGGAGCAAACAGGAUUAGAUACCCUGGUAGUCCACGCCCUAAACGAUGUCAACUAGGUGUUGGGGGAGGAGACUUCCUUAGUACCGCAGCUAACGCGUGAAGUUGACCGCCUGGGAGUACGGUCGCAAGAUUAAAACUCAAAGGAAUUGACGGGGACCUGCACAAGCGGUGGAUGAUGUGGAUUAAUUCGAUGCAACGCGAAAAACCUUACCUACCCUUGACAUGUACGGAAGUCUGCCGAGAGGUGGAU